GGAUUGUGGCUCAGCGGUAGAGCGCUUGCCUAACAUGGAUGGGACCCGGGUUCGAUCCUCAGCACCA
rnacentral:tRNA from 1 species